rnacentral:rRNA from 1 species
UACGAAGGGGGCUAGCGUUGCUCGGAAUUAUUGGGCGUAAAGGGCGCGUAGGCGGCUUCGCAAGUGGAAGGUGAAAUCCCUCGGCUUAACCGAGGAACUGCCCUCCAACUGCGUUGCUUGAGGCCGGGAGAGGUGAGUGGAAUUCCCAGUGUAGCGGUGAAAUGACGUAGAUAUUGGGAGGAACACCAGUGGCGAAGGCGGCUACCUGGACCGGUUCUGACGCUGAGGCGCGAAAGCGUGGGUAGCAAACAGG